UAAUUUGAGAGUUUGAUCCUGGCUCAGGACGAACGCUGGCGGCGUGCCUAAUACAUGCAAGUCGAACGAACUCUGGUAUUGAUUGGUGCUUGCAUCAUGAUUUACAUUUGAGUGAGUGGCGAACUGGUGAGUAACACGUGGGAAACCUGCCCAGAAGCGGGGGAUAACACCUGGAAACAGAUGCUAAUACCGCAUAACAACUUGGACCGCAUGGUCCGAGUUUGAAAGAUGGCUUCGGCUAUCACUUUUGGAUGGUCCCGCGGCGUAUUAGCUAGAUGGUGGGGUAACGGCUCACCAUGGCAAUGAUACGUAGCCGACCUGAGAGGGUAAUCGGCCACAUUGGGACUGAGACACGGCCCAAACUCCUACGGGAGGCAGCAGUAGGGAAUCUUCCACAAUGGACGAAAGUCUGAUGGAGCAACGCCGCGUGAGUGAAGAAGGGUUUCGGCUCGUAAAACUCUGUUGUUAAAGAAGAACAUAUCUGAGAGUAACUGUUCAGGUAUUGACGGUAUUUAACCAGAAAGCCACGGCUAACUACGUGCCAGCAGCCGCGG
rnacentral:rRNA from 1 species